CCUACGGGAGGCAGCAGUGGGGAAUAUUGCACAAUGGGGGAAACCCUGAUGCAGCGACGCCGCGUGAAGGAAGAAGUAUUUCGGUAUAUAAACUUCUAUCAGCAGGGAAGAAAAUGACGGUACCUGACUAAGAAGCCCCGGCUAACUACGUGCCAGCAGCCGCGGGAAUACGUAGGGGGCAAGCGUUAUCCGGAUUUACUGGGUGUAAAGGGAGCGUAGGCGGUUUAGCAAGUCAGAAGUGAAAGCCCGGGGCUCAACUCCGGGACUGCUUUUGAAACUGUUGAACUAGAUUGCAGGAGAGGUAAGUGGAAUUCCUAGUGUAGCGGUGAAAUGCGUAGAUAUUAGGAGGAACACCAGUGGCGAAGGCGGCUUACUGGACUGUAAAUGACGCUGAGGCUCGAAAGCGUGGGGAGCAAACAGGAUUAGAUACCCCAGUAGUC
rnacentral:rRNA from 1 species